UCAGUGUAUCAUUGUAUCAUUGUUGCAUUAGUUGUCGUUUCAGUUUCAUUUUACGAGUGGGGGUGGAUUAGGAGGCGGGGUGUAGGGGUGUAGGGGGUGUAGGGGUGCUUACAUACCUAGUGGACUUAAGUUACCCUGCUAGUGAAUCAUAGGAGUGAACAGUAGUAGUAGUAGUAGUAGUAGAGGAGAGGAAGAGGAGUGAGAGGUGACGGCGAAGUGAGGCGUGGGAAGGGAAGGGUGAGCGUUCAAAGCUUCGAGUCGUGAGUUACGGUUCAUCAUUACGAAACGGGAGGCAGGUUACGGCCGCUACAGUACACCUCGCGGCUCCACACGGCUCAGGUUACGGUGGUGUUCCUGCCUCUUGCCGCCUCAUGCACACAGAGGUAAGGAGCAAAUCACCAGGCUGCUCGCUGAUUGGUGGAGCGGCUGGUGACGUAAUGAACAUCUGUGCUGUGAUUGCCUUUCAAGAUCAUACGCACUUCUUGUAUCACUCUUACAAUGAUGACGUCUGUGAACACCUCGCAUCGCUCACCUUUGUUGCGUCACGAGCACCUGCCGCGGGGGAAGCAACCGCAGAUAUUGCAUUCCUCUGCCCUCUCUCUCUUUCUCGCCCCAAGUAUUACCUCCACUUGCACGCUCUCACUCCUGUAAA